rnacentral:lncRNA from 1 species
GCUAAAGUCAGUGUUGUAAUGGUGAAUCGGGAUUUUUAAAUGAAGUGGGUUUGAAUACUCUUGACUGUUUUGUAAAAUCGAGUUACGUCUGUGAUUGAAGGAUUAAAAGGAUGUCUAUAGGAUUGAGUAUGCGGAGUGAAUGAAAUUUAUUGGGUUAAUCUAACAGGACAGUCAGUGGAUACAAGAUCGUAAGUACAAAGGGGUAUUGAAGAUUAACAGUUUGGGUUGUUUGAGGUUCUUUGUAACGUCUAGAGACCUACCGGCUG